rfam:Gossypium hirsutum cultivar TM-1 unplaced genomic scaffold scaffold246.1, whole genome shotgun sequence
CGUUAAAAAUUCCAUUCAUUUUUAUUGUUAAAAGCUAGUGCAACUAACAAAAUAACAAGGCAGGGACUAAUUUGCCGAUAUGCAAUAACUAAUUUUUAACAAUAAAAAUGAAUGUAAUUGUUAACC